CAGUCUUUCAUCGCAUGGUUUGGUAUGUAAACUUUUAUGGAUUGGCAAAAUUAUCUGUGUAAUUUAGAUGCUAUGUGUUGCAAUUGCUUGCUAUUGUGCAUGAAGCUUUUUAGCAUGGUUGUUUAAAGUUUGGAUUGCAGAACUCAAUUGUGCCUGUGAAGGUUAUUCAUGCAUCCAGUUCACUCAUGUGAUAUGAAUGAUUGUGUUGUUAGAAUCUAAAACCACGGAAAUUUUUGUAUGUUGCAUCUUUAGCGACAGGAUGCUUGGACUGUUCACUUUUUAAG
rnacentral:misc_RNA from 1 species